rnacentral:rRNA from 1 species
UGGGGGAAUUUUUGGACAAUGGGCGAAAGCCUGAUCCAGCAAUGCCGCGUGUGUGAAGAAGGCCUUCGGGUUGUAAAGCACUUUUGUCCGGAAAGAAAUCCUUGGCUCUAAUACAGUCGGGGGGAUGACGGUACCGGAAGAAUAAGCACCGGCUAACUACGUGCCAGCAGCCGCGGUAAUACGUAGGGUGCAAGCGUUAAUCGGAAUUACUGGGCGUAAAGCGUGCGCAGGCGGUUUGCUAAGACCGAUGUGAAAUCCCCGGGCUCAACCUGGGAACUGCAUUGGUGACUGGCAGGCUAGAGUAUGGCAGAGGGGGGUAGAAUUCCACGUGUAGCAGUGAAAUGCGUAGAGAUGUGGAGGAAUACCGAUGGCGAAGGCAGCCCCCCUGGGCCAAUACUGACGCUCAUGCACGAAAAGCGUGGGGGAGCAAAACAGGAUUAGAUACCCCUGGUAGUCCACGCCCCUAAACGAUGUCAACUAGUUGUUGGGGAUUCAUUUCCUUAGUAACGUAGCUAACGCGUGAAGUUGACCGCCUGGGGAGUACGGUCGCAAGAUUAAAACUCAAAUGAAUUGACGACGGUCAUA